rnacentral:rRNA from 1 species
CACAAGUUGAGUAGGGAAAGUUUUUCGGUGUAGGAUGAGACUAUAUAGUAUCAGCUAGUUGGUAAGGUAAUGGCUUACCAAGGCUAUGACGCUUAACUGGUCUGAGAGGAUGAUCAGUCACACUGGAACUGAGACACGGUCCAGACUCCUACGGGAGGCAGCAGUAGGGAAUAUUGCGCAAUGGGGGAAACCCUGACGCAGCAACGCCGCGUGGAGGAUGACACUUUUCGGAGCGUAAACUCCUUUUCUUAGGGAAGAAUUCUGACGGUACCUAAGGAAUAAGCACCGGCUAACUCCGUGCCAGCAGCCGCGGUAAUACGGAGGGUGCAAGCGUUACUCGGAAUCACUGGGCGUAAAGGGCGCGUAGGCGGAUUAUCAAGUCUCUUGUGAAAUCUAAUGGCUUAACCAUUAAAC